rnacentral:rRNA from 1 species
GACGAACGCUGGCGGCGUGCUUAACACAUGCAAGUCGAACGGAAAGGCCCUGCUUUUGUGGGGUGCUCGAGUGGCGAACGGGUGAGUAACACGUGAGUAACCUGCCCUCGACUAUGGGAUAACUUCAGGAAACUGGGGCUAAUACCGGAUAGGAGCUCCUGCUGCAUGGUGGGGGUUGGAAAGUUUCGGCGGGUGGGGGUGGACUCGCGGCUUAUCAGCUUGUUGGUGGGGUAGUGGCUUACCAAGGCUUUGACGGGUAGCCGGCCUGCGAGGGUGACCGGCCACAUUGGGACUGAGAUGCGGCCCAGACUCCUACGGGAGGCAGCAGUGGAGAAUAGUGCACAAUGGGCGGAAGCCUGAUGCAGCAACGCCGCGUGGGGGAUGACGGCCUUCGGGUUGUAAACCGCUUUCGCCUGUGACGAAGCGUGAGUGACGGUAAUGGGUAAAGAAGCACCGGCUAACUACGUG